rnacentral:lncRNA from 1 species
CGACUUCGACUUCAAAAUUCCCGAGUCCGAUAGCUGAAGAACCAAAAUCUAUAAAACAGAGAAUCAAAGAAACGGAGUAAGCAUUAAAUGCUUAGUAUGUUUUGAGCAAAGAAUUUAGACACAACCAAAGUAUAGCAUUCACGUAGCUAAACAGAUAAUUUCAUAUGCACAAAUUUUCAAUAUCAUACUUACUUCACAUUACCAA